GAUGAACGCUGGCGGCGUGCCUAAUACAUGCAAGUCGAGCGAACAGACGCGGCGCUUGCCCCUCUGACGUUAGCGGCGGACGGGUGAGUAACACGUGGAUAAACUACCUAUAAGACUGGGAUAACUUCGGGAAACCGGAGCUAAUACCGGAUAAUAUAUUGAACCGCAUGGUUCAAUAGUGAAAGACGGUUUUGCUGUCACUUAUAGAUGGAUCAGCGCCGCAUUAGCUAGUUGGUAAGGUAACGGCUUACCAAGGCAACGAUGCGUAGCCGACCUGAGAGGGUGAUCAGCCACACUGGAACUGAGACACGGUCCAGACUCCUACGGGAGGCAGCAGUAGGGAAUCUUCCGCAAUGGGCGAAAGCCUGACGGAGCAACGCCGCGUGAGGGAUGAAGGUCUUCGGGUCGUAAAACUCUGUUAUUAGGGAAGAACAAAUGUGUAAGUAACUAUGCACGUCUUGACGGUACCGAAUCAGAAAGCCACGGCUAACUACGUG
rnacentral:rRNA from 1 species